UAUUAUAGCGGUUUACUAUUGCGACAAAAAAUUGUGACCUCAUUUUUUCCCACAAAUUUUCUAACAGUGGAAUAACGUCAAAUAACAAACACCUCGAUUGAUAAAUGUGGAAGAAGCGAAAGAGAUACGUUGAAUAAAAGGAAGUUUGUCACACCGUUCCCUUCGCUUUGCUCUCAAAUAGAAGACACAACACAACACCAAUGUCAUAAAUAUAUCAAAUCAAGUCGACUUCCACGCGGAACUAAGACUCACGGCUUACAUUUCUUCAUCAAGAAGUUGUCAGUCUACGGAUCGAUCUGUGAACUAGUCAAGUGAUUAAUUCGGCCCUUACCUCAAGAAGAGAUUUAUUGGUUCCACCGUACGCAAAACUGCGGGUUUGUAAAAAAAUCUCUAUCGAAAAUUGAAUAGAAAAGCCAUUUCGGAGGCCUCGGCGAAUGAAUCUGUUGAUACGGUUUGAAUUCGCUUUCACGUCUAUCUUCAUCUUAUUUACCUGAGUUAAGAUAAAAAAAAAACGCCUUAGGUAUGCUAUGAUG